GUCGCCAAUUGCACAUCACUGUUGGUACUGUUAUUGUUGCUGGCUUUGCCUGUACCAUUGCUAGUCUUAUUUGUCCAGCUUCAUUUUCCCAUUACAAUUAUAUGCAAGACCAUAGUCAGAAUAAUCAGUGACGUCCUCACAAUGAGGUAUAACUAUAGUUAAUCGCAAUGAAUACAACUGUUGUUAAUCUUUGCUGCCACUGU
rnacentral:misc_RNA from 1 species